CUGUAAUUGGUUUAUAACCAUUCAUAAUGACCUGGCAGCCCUGUACGGAUAGCAACGGGGAGCGACUUAACUUGUGAUUUAUUUAGGACACUUUGAGAAAAGCAGCGGACAGCAGAUGCUGGUAUCUAAGCUGGCCCUGAGUGGCAACACUGCAGCAGUGGGGCGCAGAGGCUGCAUUCUCCUCUCCAGGCUGAUCCAGAUUUCAGUGAUGUGUUUAAUAAAAGCUAGGAGCAACUGAUACCAUUCUGAAGUGGGAUCCCUCUUUCUUCCCUUGAAGCCAAGCAGGUGUAAGAAGAUGCUUUUGGCUUCCAAGUCCAGGUGGUGAACCCAGUGGGAGCUGCUUUAAUGCUGCUUUUUUGUUACCAAUAGGGAGCAUAAGGUCAUGAGGAAAAUGGAAGAUAAUGAUAGCUUGCUUGGAUCCCCAGGUGCUCUCAAAUGGUAAUUUUUUUCCCCUCAGUGUUUUCAAAUUAGAUGGACCAAGGAGGAAUAAAUUUUUUCAAGCCCACUCUUCUCCUUCCAGGCUUGGAAUCUACCUGACAUAGUUGCCAUUACCCUGGUAACUCCUGAACACCUUUGCUAAGCGUGGCUGUGUUUGUUGACCACACAUCCACCUCCAGGACCUCACAAACAUCACCCAUCAAGUUGCCAAGCUGAUCCCUCCACCAAACUCUACUGGAGAAGCAUAGGGAAACGUGGCAGGGCAUGAUCUCAGACCAGUAGUUUGCUGGUCCCCAGCCCUUGGCCAGCUGUGGCGUUCCAGCUGCCUGAGCAGUUUGGUUCUAAUACUUGUGAAAUACAAGAAGCGUUACCUU